rnacentral:hammerhead_ribozyme from 1 species
AUGCGAAACAGGUAAGGCCAAGCAGUGCCUUACUUGUCUGCCUAGCGUGGUUGCUAGGCACUGAUGAGCAGCUAAUU